GCCGGUGUGGCGGAAAGGCAGACGCAGACGACUCAAAAUCGUCCGGGAAACCGUGUGGGUUCGACUCCCACCACCGGCACCA
rnacentral:tRNA from 1 species